UAUAUAUAUAUGUAUGUAUAUAUGUGUGUGUGUGUGUAUAUAUAUGAAUAUAUGUGUGUGUGCAUGUAUUGGCGUACAUUUGUCCAAUAUUUUUUAUGUCAACCCAUUAUAUUAUUUCAGUUAUAGUUGUCACCCAUCCCCAUGCCCACCUCCACCGAUAAUGUUAUGUAUUUCACUCAACUCAACUUCCAUCUCCAACCAACAUUGCUCUAGAUCAGUAGAAAAAAAAGAUGUUUUUCCAUAUACAUUUGAACAAUAACAAAAUAAUAAUAAUAAAAGCAACAAUUAUGAGAAUAAAAUGUAUGUUACUUGUACCAUU